GCCAGGCCGCGCUCCCCCCUUACCUGGUAGGAGCAGUUUUCCUGGUGGACCAUCUCCGUGCAUCAUCCGCCGCGCCGCCCCGCGGGGUCUCCGGCCCCGGCGGGGAAAGAGGAGGAGGAGGACGGGAAGAAGGAGGAGGAUGGGCAGGAGGAGGAGGAUGGGCAGGAGGAGCUGGGAGCCCGGCCAGCCGGUCCUUCUCUAAUCAAAUUUCUCCAAAGAAAAGGCCCAUGAAGCUCAAGCAAGCAUCCAGCUUUGGCUCGCAAUUUCAAGAGUCCCCAUUCCUCGCUUAGUCAACAAGAGCUUUAUUCUGCUCCCAGUCGCAGCCAGCUGUGGCUGCGCUCAGAAACCCACAUGCCGCUGAAACCCAGAAGCACUUGCUCACAGGCCAUCUCGGAUUUCAUUCCCCGCACCAGCUGUGCCUCUAGGAAAAAAGGCCAUUGUAGGAGCAUUGCUCCCCCAACUUUCCCAGCUUCUCACCCGCACAAACCAGCCGGAGCAGCCGUGGGCGGAUGGAAAGUCCCUCAAGUUCCCGUGCAGCUGGGAUGGAGAGAAACCCCCAGACCUGCCUCGGCUCCAACCCUCCUCCCCGACACCCUCUCCCCUACAGGAGUGGUGGUUUAAAAAGAUCUAGGUAUCAUUCAAAAAGAACAAAAAAACAUUCUUCACAAGUUUUUAAGAGAGCCUGGUUUUUACUGGGUCUGCAGAGAAUCCCAUUCAGCCAGGCAGGUAUUUCCAAACAUCAAAAUGAACCAAGACACUUUUCAACAUCCUGCAUAAAUCUUGGCCUUGCUUCGGAGAAGUAUCUGUGGCAAGCUGAAAGCAGCUCCGCGCAUUAUGGAACCUCUAACGCCAUUUAUUAUGUGCAUCGCAAGGAAAACUCCUGAAUUUAUCCCCCACUUUCCACAUGCGGGUCUAUCUAUAAAUCUAUAACGAUGGUGACUCAGUCGCUCCGCAUGCAGCAGAUCCCCAAUGGGGACUGCACCCAGGUCUGCUGCAGCAAGGGGUGAACCCCACUUCGUCUAUUUAACACCCUAUUCCUUUUGCAAAAUGACCCAGGAGAGAGCUACGUUGGGCUUAGCAUGUCUGCUGCAGAAAAGCCACCCGUUUGCAGCAAAGCUCUUCCCUCUGGGGCUGGGAGCCCCACACGAGCCUGCGAUGCAGCUGGGAAGGGCCAGGCAUCGCCUUCAACAUCUGGGUUUGCUCCUCUGUUCUGUGUCCGUUCGCGAUUCCCCGUUCAGAAAUGAGGCAGGCAGGCAGGCAAUAAUUAAAGAGAUGAGUGAUUAAAUGGAGUGAAAGGCUCCUGGCAGCCCUCCAGGUGGGUCAGUGGGAAAGGAUGCUCCGGGAUGGAGGCAGCGAACCAGCGCUGCCGCUCUCCACAAAGACACAACCCAGGAAAAUCCCCAGGGACCCCCAACAGCCCCUCUCAGCUGGGGAGAGAAACCCAGGGGGUCACCUGCAUUGCCUUCUGCCUUUUUUAUUGAGGCACCUCUAACCUAGGGUAUGUUACGCCACUUAGGCGUAUCUAGCCAAGUUUUCCUGAAGCUCUUCCCCAAAACCAGCUCCAAACUGACAAUGUAUAAGUUCACAAAGCCCUGGAGAACAUCUCCAGGGGGUCUGACACCAAGCUGGGGACGCCAGCAUGAAACAUUUCCCUUCUCAGCAGGUUUGGGGAGAUGCUCUGGUCAAUCCUGGCCGUGCUGGGUUAAGCUGGGCCACCAGGAACGGGCCAGGUUCAAUGUCCUGGAUGCUUGCAGGGCUACGGGGGUGAGGACACAAGAAAUUCAACCCCAUGCACAGAAAGAUGCAGCUUUACCAGACAUGCUCAAAUUCUUGUAGUGAAACAACAGGAUUUCGUUCAUUAUCCUUCUACACACACACAUCCUGCUGUGUGCCUGGACCCAGCUGCAAGGACUCAGCCCUUCAGCCCAAAAACCAUGUGAGGAGGGAAAUAAAAGGGUCGGAGCAGCAUUUGUUCCUUCAACAAGGCAAGCGAUGGGUUUCCUUAACUCUAAAAAAAACAAUCAAAAAACCCAAACUAGAAACUUCUUUCUUCUCACAGUCAUUCCUUGAGGGGCUUUAUCAGGUCAAAUUAUUUUUCAGGUUGGCAUUGGCCAACCCGUCUGGUUGAUUAAAAAAGCAUAUUAAUUUAGACUAGCUUUUUCUCUUCAGAUCUCAAAAUAAACGUAUAGCUGGGUCAUAUUGCAGGUAGAAAUGAGGCAGGAGCUGAUCCCCACACCCGCAGGGGAGGUGCAGGGAGCCAGCCCGGGAUGCUCCUGCUGACCCCGAGCCCAGCGAGCUUGCAGGGAACUGGGAAUUAUUUACAGCAUGACGGGAUUGCAGCUUUCUUUGCUGAUGAUUUACUAGCAGUGAUGGAUUUAGCCCCUCUUUAAGCCAAGCUAAAGCUUUUCCAGGGUUUAAAUCUAGCAAGAAAAAGAAGAAAAAAGAUUAUUUUUUAAUCAGUUAAUACUAGACAUCUGUUUGGAAAGGGGAGUAUUUGGAUCACCUACAUACAUAAUGCUUUAGACUAUUACUUUUUUAUUUAAGGAGGACGAUGCUGAGGUGUUUCCCAUCAUUUUGGAUGCGUGACUCUUCUCUACGAGGGGAUAAACCUCUGAUUUAAGAAUCCAAAGAGCACCCUUCCCUCCUCCAAGUCCCUUUUACUUUCACAGUGGUUUCUUGAGCCCUUUACAAGCAGCAGCUUUACAAUUCCCCCUUAGCACUGGGUUACCAACCCAUCCAUUUUUAGGAUUAAAAAUCUGCAUGCUGAAAUGUUCGAAUAAAACUCUUCUUGGUCCUCUGAGAAAACAAAUGCAGGGAAAAACCCACUCUGGAGUGAAUGUCUAUUAUUUUGUAACUCUUACAUGACCGAGGAAUUAAGGAGCACUGGGAAGAGUACUUGUUGCAUUUUUAUUUGGAUGCAGAAGCGCACAUCUUGCACUUUUAACAGCCUAAUGCUCCGUUUUUAGUGGUAAGCAACUCAUCCAGAAAUGUCAGUUUUCUCCGCAUCCCACAGCCGGCAUCCUUGCCAUUACACAAUCAAACCACAAUUGUCUCCUCCCUCAAAACACGGAACAGAAGGUUACAGCAAUUUCACAUUCUGAUACCUCCGAUGCACAGGAUAUCAAACGCCUUACAGGGAAUCAGAGUGAAGAAUUCAAGUCACUCGAGUAUUUAUAACUUUCUGGUGAUAUAAAAGCGAGAAAACAUACGGUAAACCAGACUUCUCCAUGAAACCCAUCUAGAAAGACCCACUGAUACAGCUGCACAGGCUUAAUUUGUAAUUGUUCAAUUUAUAAGCUGGAUCAUGCGUGCUUAAUAGGGAAUUUACAGGCGGUCUGAUGAUGAGCAGGUAUGAUAGCCCACCAGGUAAUUACUGCUAAUGAAUGGAGGACGAUUCCAACUACCAGCCCCUAAUGAGCACGGGGAGAUGGCAACGGAACAGCUACAGCUGCCUCCUUGCAGUUUUAUUUAUAUUCUUAUAAGCUGUUCUUCGGAAACACGAUAUUCACGGUAUGCAAAACGCUACGGAGAACAUGAGCUUUUCAGCAGGACGAGGCAAAUCUAGAUGUUUUUGUAUUAGCACCAAUAAACUAAAACGUUACAAUCCA